GACGAACGCUGGCGGCGUGCUUAACACAUGCAAGUCGAACGGUGAAGCGCCUUCCUUUUUGGUGGGUGUGGAUGAGUGGCGAACGGGUGAGUAACACGUGAGUAACCUGCCCCCUUCUUCUGGAUAACCGCAUGAAAGUGUGGCUAAUACGGGAUAUUCUGGGUCUGUCGCCUGAUGGGUCUGGGAAAGAUAUUGUUUCGGUGGGGGAUGGGCUCGCGGCCUAUCAGCUUGUUGGUGGGGUGAUGGCCUACCAAGGCGGUGACGGGUAGCCGGCCUGAGGGGGUGGACGGUCACACUGGGACUGAGACACGGCCCAGACUCCUACGGGAGGCAGCAGUGGGGAAUAUUGCACAAUGGGCGCAAGCCUGAUGCAGCGACGCCGCGUGAGGGAUGGAGGCCUUCGGGUUGUGAACCUCUUUCGCCAGUGAAGCAGGCCUGCCUCGUUUGUGGGUGGGUUGACGGUAGCUGGAUAAGAAGCGCCGGCUAACUACGUG
rnacentral:rRNA from 1 species